rnacentral:rRNA from 1 species
AGAGUUUGAUCCUGGCUCAGGACGAACGCUGGCGGCACGCUUAAAACAUGCAAGUCGAACGUGAAGCUCGGGCUUGCCCGGGUGGAAAGUGGCGAACGGGUGCGUAACACGUGAGCAACCUGCCCCGAAGACUGGGAUAACACCGGGAAACCGGUGCUAAUACCGGAUGCCUUCACCACGUCGCAUGGCGAGGUGAAGAAAUGGAUUCCGCUUCGGGAUGGGCUCGCGGCCUAUCAGCUUGUUGGUGGGGUAAUGGCCUACCAAGGCAACGACGGGUAGCUGGUCUGAGAGGAUGAUCAGCCUGACUGGAACUGAGACACGGUCCAGACUCCUACGGGGGGCAGCAGUAGGGAAUUUUCCGCAAUGGGCGAAAGCCUGACGGAGCAACGCCGCGUGCAGGAGGAAGGCCUUCGGGUUGUAAACUGCUUUUAAGGGGGACGAUUAUGACGGUACCCCUAGAAUAAGGAUCGGCUAAUUCCGUGCCAGCAGCCGCGGUCAUACGGGAGAUCCGAGCGUUAUCCGGAAUUACUGGGCGUAAAGAGUUGCGUAGGUGGCAUGUAAAGCGAGCAGUGAAAGACUCCGGCUCAACCGGAGGCACAUUGUUCGAACUUACNAGCUAGAGCAUANUAGAGGUACCUGGAAUUUCUAGUGUAGGAGUGAAAUCCGUAGAUAUUANAAGGAACACCGAUCGGCGUAGGCAG